AGGAAAACAGAACACAAAAACAAAAAAAUGCUAACCCUAGAUUUUGUGCCUCCGUUCCUCGACAAAACAACAUCACUCUCAUUUCUCAUUUCUCUAUUUCGAAUCGCGAUGACUUGUCCGGCCAAGCCUCCGAUCGUCGUCUUCCACGUCCCGUCGAUUUGAGUCUGUCGGGGUUUUCACAGAGGUUCCCGGAUCUUUAAAAUCGACUUCGUUCACAGUCACCUCAGUUUUGGUGUGUUUAUUUGAUAAAACUCGAUAUGUGUUAACUGGAUUUGUUGAAGUUGAAGAACAUGUCAAGAAGCUUGAAGAAGCAGUUGGCUGGAAGAAGAUAGGACCUGCGAGGUCAUGUUCUUUUGUCUGUUCGUUGCAAGGAGGCUCAUGGUCACCAUGCUCAAGGGCUCUCAUGUUUAAACCAAUGCAGCACCCUUCGUUGUAUUCAACCUGUCAAGAAGCUGUAUAGAUCAGUUUUUGCAUCUAACAGUUAGGAUUCUUUUGUGUUAUAGAUUGACAUGGACACUAUUGAAGUCAAUAACCUGAAUAGGCAAUUCAUAUUCUGUCCUUCUCAUGUUGGGCACUCCAAGGCUAAGUUUAGGAGGUAUAUGUGAGCAACCUGGGCUCAUUCUCCAUCGCUUCAAGCUGAUUUCUCUCUGAUGGUGUCAUUAAGCAACAUGAGCUCAUUCUCCCUCACCUUAAGUUCCUUAAGAGAUGCUUCCAUCUGCUCAGCUUCCUUUCUCCUUGUCUCGGGUCUCUACAGUUUGCUUCAGGUCAAAAUCUUUAACAUUCAUCUCAAAAGCAAAAGACUUCUCAUAUGGGAAAGCAAAGCAACCUCGCUUCAAACAUUAAACCCUUGAUGUUUCUGCAUUUCCCCCAAGAUACCUCCAAUAUUUACUUUCUCUUUUUACUAGUAUGAUGUAUUCUUAUUUUUAAUUAUGUUUUUAGUUUUAUUUUGUAAUACAUU